UACGUAGGGUGCAAGCGUUGUCCGGAAUUAUUGGGCGUAAAGAGCUCGUAGGCGGUCUGUCGCGUCUGCUGUGAAAACUCAGGGCUUAACCCUGAGCUUGCAGUGGGUACGGGCAGACGAGAGUGCGGUAGGGGAGACUGGAAUUCCUGGUGUAAGCGGUGAAAUGCGCAGAUAUCAGGAGGAACACCGGUGGCGAAGGCGGGUCUCUGGGCCGUAACUGACGCUGAGGAGCGAAAGCAUGGGGAGCGAACAGG
rnacentral:rRNA from 1 species